AUCUUCCUGCCUAAGGCUGCGUCAUAACCAUCAUCAGAGACACAACAUAUCAACAUCUUGAGGAGCAGGAAGGUCACGGUGGCCAUGUUGGGAAGUGAACCUGGUCUGUGCUUGGAGGGGACACGGGUUCGAGCCCUGGUCCGGGAAGAUCCCACUUGCCACGGAGCAAUGAAGCCUG